GGAAGCAACCCGGCUGGAUGAGGACGCUGUCUUGAAAACAGUUGGCCGUCAAGGUUUGGGGGUUCGAGUCCCUCUGCUUCCU
rnacentral:tRNA from 1 species